rnacentral:snRNA from 1 species
UCUCUUGUGCUCGGGCAUGUACUGUCGCCAGUGAGGUUUUUACCGAGGCACAGUCUUUUGCUGAUUGCAAACAAUACAUCCGUCUACCUUGCUUACCUUCGGGUCUGCAGAAUUUUUGAAACCCAUUUUCUUCCCGUGCGUCCGUGAUACGAGCGAUGC